rnacentral:lncRNA from 1 species
UGAAAUGUGGUAUAUUCGAUGAUAAUUUAAAUAACUUACUAAUAUAUUUUAAUUAUGAGCAUUGCAUUGAUUCGUACAAGAAAUUAAAAAUAUACAUAUAUUAAGCAUGCUUAUAAAUUAACAUAACACCAAAGAAUAACUAACAUGCAAUUUCAAAAAAUUAUUUAAAUACAUUAAGCAUUAAAGCAUAAAUAAAAAAUUUUAAUUAAGUUACCUAUGAUGAAUACAUCGAAAAAGAAGAGAUGGGCCUAACUUAGAUUGGGGAGAGCACCAAAAGACAGGAGGAGGG